rnacentral:piRNA from 1 species
UCCUAUCCUGGUGCCACUUUGGAUGUAGU